rnacentral:lncRNA from 1 species
GGCCUCUGAAUCCACUGUGAGUUCAGCAAAUGGAGGCGCUUGGAAAAGGCUGGGACGCAGGCAGAGGAACGGAUUUCCUGGCCUACGAACACCCUGGCUCUUGUUUCGCGGGUGGGGUGGGGGUGGGGUGCUUUUUUUUCUUAAAGCAAAUACGUACAGGUCAUUUACUGGGUGUCAGGCCCUGCAGGAGUGAUUGAGUGGGUGAGCAGGAACUCCAGGUCCUGUCCGGGUCACUCUGACCUCAAUAGCAGUGAGGGAUUUUUUAAGGCAGCAACAGGAUUUCUGGUGUCCAGUGCUUGAAAACUCAAGGGAAGAAAGCCCCCAGCUCUCAAACCAAGCAAGGAUCUUUGUCUCUAGGCUAACAGAACAUGUGGUUCCAACAUCUGGGGUUUGUAGCCUGCAAAAAUCUAAUCAUGAAGACAGAGAGAUUGUCACAAAUUCCCAUAACGCACUUUGGGUAUCUCGGCUCUUGGCCUGUUUGGAGCAGGGGCCGGUGGCAGCCUGUGCAUACAGAAGUAGUUCACGCUCCCCAAGAUGAUGGAAGAGGUGCUGAACACCUCAAGGAGCUCCCUGUGCACUCUGCCACAGACAGCCUGUAGCUCCCCUGCCUCACACCCACAAGGCGCCAAAGGCAUUGUCUCUGCACGGCCAGGGGUUUUUGCAGAGCCUCUGGGCAUCCUGGGAAUGACACUAAGAACAGCAUCCAGAGAGACACCCACCUACCAGGCAAGGGGUGGGGCUCUACAGUGAAAGAUGGACCUAAGGAAUCAAUGGAGAUACACAGGCCAGCUACCAGCACAGAGAGCAGCAGGCGCUAGGUGGGAAUGUGGCUUUGUGCCUCAGCACUUGCAGAGGGAAGGACUCUAUCCCUGCCAUGGCACUGUUUCUCAAAGUCAGAUGCUAGAAGCUGACUGCCCAUGUAGCAAUGCUGAGUCCGGGCCUAAUAAGAAGUGAUUGGGUCAUGAGGACCAGGUCUUCAUGAAUGGAGAAUGUGGUGGUUUGAAUAUGCUUGGCCCAUGGGAAGGGGAGCCAUUAAGAGGGGGUGGUCUUGUUACAGGAAGUGUGUCAUUGUGUAGGCGGGCUUCAAGGUCCUAUGUUCAAGCUCUGCCUAGUGUGGAAAGGAGAGCCUCCUCCUGGCUGUCUGCCAAUUAAGAGGCUGUUCCUCCAGUACCAUGUCUGCCUAAACGAUGCCGUGUUUCCUGCCAUGAUGAUAAUAGACUGAACUUUUGAAACUGUAAGCCAGACCCAAUUAAAUGUUUGCCUUCAUAAGA